rnacentral:rRNA from 1 species
AUGAACGCUGGCGGCGUGCCUAAUACAUGCAAGUCGAGCGAACAGACGAGGAGCUUGCUCCUCUGACGUUAGCGGCGGACGGGUGAGUAACACGUGGAUAACCUACCUAUAAGACUGUGAUAACUUCGGGAAACCGGAGCUAAUACCGGAUAAUAUAUUGAACCGCAUGGUUCAAUAGUGAAAGACGGUUUUGCUGUCACUUAUAGAUGGAUCCGCGCCGCAUUAGCUAGUUGGUAAGGUAACGGCUUACCAAGGCAACGAUGCGUAGCCGACCUGAGAGGGUGAUCGGCCACACUGGAACUGAGACACGGUCCAGACUCCUACGGGAGGCAGCAGUAGGGAAUCUUCCGCAAUGGGCGAAAGCCUGACGGAGCAACGCCGCGUGAGUGAUGAAGGUCUUCGGAUCGUAAAACUCUGUUAUUAGGGAAGAACAAAUGUGUAAGUAACUAUGCACGUCUUGACGGUACCUAAUCAGAAAGCCACGGCUAACUACGUG